rnacentral:rRNA from 1 species
UACGUAGGGGGCAAGCGUUGUCCGGAAUCAUUGGGCGUAAAGAGCGUGUAGGCGGCCUGGUAAGUCCGCUGUGAAAGUCCAGGGCUCAACCCUGGAAUGCCGGUGGAAACUGUCAGGCUCGAGUCCGGAAGAGGCGAGUGGAAUUCCUGGUGUAGCGGUGAAAUGCGCAGAUAUCAGGAGGAACACCAAUGGCGAAGGCAGCUCGCUGGGACGGUACUGACGCUGAGACGCGAAAAGCGUGGGGAGCAAACAGG